rnacentral:rRNA from 1 species
UGGGGAAUAUUGCACGAUGGAGGGAACUCUGAUGCAGCGACGCCGCGUGAGUGAUGAAGGAAUUCGUUUCGUAAAACUCUGUUCUAUGGGAAGAAAAGGACUGUACCAUAGGAGAAAGCUCCGGCUAAAUACGUGCCAGCAGCCGCGGUAAUACGUAUGGAGCGAGCGUUGUCCGGAAUUAUUGGGCGUAAAGGGUGCGCAGGCGGCUUUACAAGUUGGAUGUGAAAUAUUGUGGCUCAACCACAAACGUGCAUCCAAAACUGCAAAGCUUGAGUUAAGGAGAGGUAAGUGGAAUUCCUGGUGUAGCGGUGGAAUGCGUAGAUAUCAGGAGGAAUACCGGUGGCGAAGGCGACUUACUGGACUUAAACUGACGCUCAGGCACGAAAGCGUGGGGAGCAAACAGG